ACGCACGCUGGCGGCGUGCCUAAUACCUGCCAGUCGAACGCUUCUUUCCUCCCGAGUGCUUGCACUCAAUUGGAAAGAGGAGUGGCGGACGGGUGAGUAACACGUGGGUAACCUACCCAUCAGAGGGGGAUAACACUUGGAAACAGGUGCUAAUACCGCAUAACAGUUUAUGCCGCAUGGCAUAAGAGUGAAAGGCGCUUUCGGGUGUCGUUGAUGGAUGGACCCGCGGUGCAUUAGCUAGUUGGUGAGGUAACGGCUCACCAAGGCCACGAUGCAUAGCCGACCUGAGAGGGUGAUCGGCCACACUGGGACUGAGACACGGCCCAGACUCCUACGGGAGGCAGCAGUAGGGAAUCUUCGGCAAUGGACGAAAGUCUGACCGAGCAACGCCGCGUGAGUGAAGAAGGUGUUCGGAUCGUAAAACUCUGUUGUUAGAGAAGAACAAGGACGUUAGUAACUGAACGUCCCCUGACGGUAUCUAACCAGAAAGCCACGGCUAACUACGUG
rnacentral:rRNA from 1 species